GCUGCGGUGGCCUAGUUGGUUAGGGCGCCAGACUCAUAAUCUGGAGAUCGGGGGAUCGUAACCCUCCCGCAGCA
rnacentral:tRNA from 1 species